rnacentral:rRNA from 1 species
AUUGAACGCUGGCGGCAGGCCUAACACAUGCAAGUCGAACGAGUGGCGGACGGGUGAGUAAUGUCUGGGAAACUGCCUGAUGGAGGGGGAUAACUACUGGAAACGGUAGCUAAUACCGCAUACCAUCGGAUGUGCCCAGAUGGGAUUAGCUAGUAGGUGGGGUAAAGGCUCACCUAGGCGACGAUCCCUAGCUGGUCUGAGAGGAUGUCCAGCCAACCUGGAACUGAGCCACGGUCCCGACUCCUACGGGAGGCAGCAGUGGGGAAUCUUGCAAAAUGGGCGGAAGCCUGAUGCAACCAUGGCGCGGGGUUGAAGAAGGCCUUCGGGUUGUAAAGUACUUUCAGCGGGGAGGCGUUACCCGCAAAAGAAGCACCGGCUAACUCCGUGCCAGCAGCCGCGGUAAUAC